rnacentral:rRNA from 1 species
GACGAACGCUGGCGGCGUGCUUAACACAUGCAAGUCGUACGGUAAGGCCCUUUCCUGGGUCCUCGAGUGUCGAACGGGUGCGUAACACGUGCGUAACCUUCCCACACCUUUGGGAUAACGCUAGCUAACUGGUGCUAAUACUGGUUAUGUUCUCCUUCUGCAUGGUCGUGGUUGGAAAGCUCCGGCCGUUGUGGCUGUACUCGCUGCCUAUCUGCUUGUUGGUGGGGUAGUGUCCUACCAAGACGGCUACGGGUAGCCGGCCUGAGAGGCUGACCGGCCACAUUGGGUCUGAGAUACGGCCCAGACUCCUACGGGAGGCAGCAGUGGGGAAUAUUGCACAAUGGGCGCAAGCCUGAUGCAGAAAGGCCGCGGACGGGAUGACGGUCUUCGGGUUGUAAAACGAUUUCAGCAGGGACGAAGCAUUUUGUGACGGUACCUGCAGAAGAAGCACCGGCUAACUACGUG